rnacentral:rRNA from 1 species
UACAGAGGUGGCAAGCGUUGUUCGGAAUUACUGGGCGUAAAGAGCUCGUAGGUGGUUUGUCGCGUUGUUCGUGAAAACUCACAGCUCAACUGUGGGCGUGCGGGCGAUACGGGCAGACUGGAGUACUGCAGGGGAGACUGGAAUUCCUGGUGUAGCGGUGAAAUGCGCAGAUAUCAGGAGGAACACCGGUGGCGAAGGCGGGUCUCUGGGCCGUAACUGACGCUGAGGAGCGAAAGCGUGGGGAGCGAACAGG